rnacentral:rRNA from 1 species
GAUGAACGCUGGCGGCGUGCCUAAUACAUGCAAGUCGAGCGAACGGACGCGAAGCUUGCUUGUCUGAUGUUAGCGGCGGACGGGAGUGUAACACGUGGAUAACCUACCUAUAAGACUGGGAUAACUUCGGGAAACCGGAGCUAAUACCGGAUAAUAUUUUGCACCGUAUGGUUCGAAAGUGAAAGACGGUCUUGCUGUAACUUCUCGAUGGAUCCGAGCUGCAUGAGCUAGUUGGUAAGGUAACGGCCUACCAAGGCAACGAUGCAUAGCCGACCGGAGAGGGUGAUCGGCCACACUGGAGCUGAGACACGGUCCAGACUCCUACGAUAGGCAGCAGUAGGGAAUCGUCCGCAAUGGUCGAGAGCCUGACGCAGCAACGCCGCGUGAGUGAUGAAGGUCUUCGGAUCGGAAAGCUCGGUUAUUAGGUAAGAACAGAUGUGUAAGUAACUGUGCACAUCUUGACGGUACCUAAUCAGAAAGCCACGGCUAACUACGUG